rnacentral:sRNA from 1 species
UCUAUCUCGUCAUUAAUUUCAGCUACCACAUCAUCCACGGAACCAAGUACCACAACCACUACAACGAAAGCGUCCAAUGACUCAACUAGCGGUAAAGCUAACGGCUCACCGUCACUGUAUCUCUCCUACUGUUUACUGAUGAUAACACUCUGUGCUGCAGUAUUCCGGGCAACAAACGGAGCCAUUUCCAUUUAGUCUUUUUUGUUGUCUUCUAAAUAAUAAAUAAUACACCUUGGUUUACAUACAUAUUUUUUUUAAAACGUGAAAAAUAAAUUAAUUUAUUGUAAAAAAAGAAAUUAAAUAAACAACAUUUGAUCUUGGACUUAAAUAAUGCUGCUGUUGUCUUUAAAUUUUAAAAUGAAGCUUUAACAAAAAUGUGUGUUUUAAUGUCGUAAUAGUAAACAUUGAACUAUUAUUUUAUUCUUUGAUUGCAGUUGACUCUUCAUAAUCUGACACACGCACAGUAAUCCGACGCGGCGCUGACGUAAAUUCAUGCAUUUAACGUAAACGAAAGUACGUAUAUUUUUUUUAUCGUUUUACAUGUUUCGGAUUUCCUUCAGAUUUGAUGAAAACAUUUCCGCAAGACGACACGAGAUGGCAGCGGGCAGGGUAUGAACUUGGAACGACCGAACGACAGUCUAGCGCGCAAACCGCACGACCAGGCAGCCAUUUAGAAUGUAUGUAGGCUUCAUUGUAGUUUAGUACAAAGCUGAAAGUUGAAAUAAUCUGUUUUGUAUUUUCAAAUCUUUACAUUUUUCUUUA